CUAGCUUUCACAGUGUCGGCUUAAUUCAUUUGAAAACCUGUGAGAUUUAUUUUGUGCCCCUGACAAGGGAGCUGCUAUGGCUGGAUUGUUUAUCCCCAGAAUUUCCGAGUUGAAACUUAAUCCCCCAAGGUCAUAUUUAAGGAAGCCAGGGGAGGAAAAUAUCCAGGCCGUAUCCUGUUGAUAUUCUAGGAGGCUCAAAGGCAGGAUAAGGCUGAGUGCACAGGGCAGCGGGCAGCCAGCGGCUCAGCCUCCCCUUCCUCCAUGCCCCGAGUCACCAGGGUCAGGAUGGUGUCCACUUGGCCUGGAAUGGCCCAGCCAGACUGAGGAAGGUUGAAAGGAGCUGCUCCUAUCAGCUUGUAGCAUUUCUUCAGGAGACCAUGGUGCUGCGCCCGUGGGCUUCCACUGUGGCAGGGAAGAUUCACUCCCCAGCUCCCGCAAAGAGAGAAGUUUUGGAGGCGCAAGAUGAGGGCUGCUUCCCUUUGGAUUGUGAGACGGGAGAGGAGUCUGCCAGCGUUUUACAACUACUCAGAUACUGGAUCCACAAUUUUUAGUAUAAAUAGGAUUUGGCAUAUUCUUUCCAAAUAUGUUAGUGAUCUUUUCCAAAUGACUAACAAGAUGUCUCAGUACCAUUUAUGGAGUAACAGAUCCAUUCUUUAUUAAUUUGAACUUCUGCCAUGAGGUUCCUUAUAUUGUUGUCUAAAAUUGGAGUACAUUGAGUUUCAUCGCUCUUUGGGUGCCUGAGUAAUAUAUAUGUAUAUUUUUUUGUUUUGUUUUGUUUUCAAGACAGGGUUUUUCUGUGUAGCCCUGGCUGUCCUGGAACUCACUCUGUA